GGGCUCGUGGCUUAGUCAGGAUAUAGCACUGGCCUUCUAAGCCAGUGGUCGGGGGUUCGAAUCCCCCCGGGCCCGCCA
rnacentral:tRNA from 1 species